UUGGCUAGAUAUGGAACCUAAUGAAUCACACACAAAAAAAUUGAUCUUAGACUUUUGAUUAGACUUGAGAAGUCUUAAAUCAAUAAGAAUUUAGUUGAAAUCCUAAUAGGUUUAGAUCAAGUAUGCUAGCACAUCAUUGAACCCAUGAAUCUCCUUCUAUUUGGAUUUCUAAUUAGAUUAGAAAUAGUUUAGGUCAAGUUAUUGACUCCCAACUAAUUUUUUCUUAAUUUAAAUGCCCCUGUCCUUUAUGAAAAGGAAGAAUCCCACUUGCAGAAGAACUCUUCCAAGCAUCUCCACGCCUCCUAGCACCCCUCUUGGUUUUCACGCGUGAAAAGGUUUCACGCUAAUAUUGUUAGACGCCCAAAACGAGGGAGGAGUCCAUCCUAGAAGGACUCCUCCACGCACCCAACGCCCCAUGUGGAAACCCCUUCCAUGCCCUCUUUUCUCAACGCACUAGGGGCCUCACGCCUCUUGGUAGUUGGCGCCCAAGAGGCCUCACGCCUCUUGGUAGUUGGCGCCCAAGUUGUUGGGCAUUGAAAGGGUUUUGGUUCCUAUCAAAACUCCUUGUUGAGUCAGAAAUUGGGACUGAAACUAAGACUUUAAAUCUAUAAAUAUGAGGCUAAAGUCCAUGAGUUAGAUUAAUCAAUAUUCUCUACACCAAGAGAGGAGAAGGCCAAGAGAGAAAGAGAAAGAAUGGUUGCUGAUUUCUUGAGAAGAAAUUCAAUAAAUUAAAUUGAGGAAGAUCCUUAAUCAAGACCCAUAUGGAUCACUGUUAGAGAACGUACGCAUAUAUGCCUCAAAGGAGACCAAUCAGCAAUCAAAUCAGAUUGAUUAAAAGGUAUAUUAAUUCUUCUUACUCUUUUGAUUACUAUAUGUUUCAUGUUUGAUUAGAAUCAUCAAAGUAAUUUUGAGAUUGAAGUUUGAAUCUUAUAAUCAAGUAUUGAUACAUAUUUAAAAAAAUUUUAAAAUCUAUAUUUUGCUGCGCAUCCGAAUCUCAACACUGACACUCUUAUGAGGCUAACAAAAGCGAUAAUGUCCAACAUCCAGAUUAGUCCAAUCAGGGUAUUUUUAUUUGAUCACAAUGAGAACGGGAAAUAGAUGUUUCAUAAAGAUCAAGGGUGAUCAGAUUAAUAGUAUCCAAAAAGAGUCAAAAUGAAGGUUGAUACAUCGAUUGACAUUCAGGAAUCAAUUUG
rnacentral:lncRNA from 1 species